rnacentral:rRNA from 1 species
UUAAGCGACUAAGCGUACACGGUGGAUGCCCUGGCAGUCAGAGGCGAUGAAGGACGUGCUAAUCUGCGAAAAGCGUCGGUAAGGUGAUAUGAACCGUUAUAACCGGCGAUGUCCGAAUGGGGAAACCCAGUGCAAUUCGUUGCACUAUCGUUAACUGAAUACAUAGGUUAACGAGGCGAACCGGGGGAACUGAAACAUCUAAGUACCCCGAGGAAAAGAAAUCAACCGAGAUUCCCCCAGUAGCGGCGAGCGAACGGGGAGCAGCCCGGAGUCUGAAUCAGCUUGUGUGUUAGUGGAAGCGUCUGGAAAGUCGCAGGGUACAGGGUGAUACUCCCGUACACUAAAACACACAGGCUGUGAACUCGAAGAGUAGGGCGGGACACGUGGUAUCCUGUCUGAAUAUGGGGGGACCAUCCUCCAAGGCUAAAUACUCCUGACUGACCGAUAGUGAACCAGUACCGUGAGGGAAAGGCGAAAAGAACCCCGGCGAGGGAGUGAAAAAGAACCUGAAACCGUGUACGUACAAGCAGUAGGAGCCCACUAGUUGGGUGACUGCGUACCUUUUGUAUAAUGGGUCAGCGACUUAUAUUCUGUAGCAAGGUUAACCGUAUAGGGGAGCCGCAGGGAAACCGAGUCUUAACUGGGCGUUAAGUUGCAGGGUAUAGACCCGAAACCCGGUGAUCUAGCCAUGGGCAGGUUGAAGGUUGGGUAACACUAACUGGAGGACCGAACCGACUAAUGUUGAAAAAUUAGCGGAUGACUUGUGGCUGGGGGUGAAAGGCCAAUCAAACCGGGAGAUAGCUGGUUCUCCCCGAAAGCUAUUUAGGUAGCGCCUCGUGAACUCAUCUUCGGGGGUAGAGCACUGUUUCGGCUAGGGGGUCAUCCCGACUUACCAACCCGAUGCAAACUACGAAUACCGAAGAAUGUUAUCACGGGAGACACACGGCGGGUGCUAACGUCCGUCGUGAAGAGGGAAACAACCCAGACCGCCAGCUAAGGUCCCAAAGUCAUGGUUAAGUGGGAAACGAUGUGGGAAGGCCCAGACAGCCAGGAUGUUGGCUUAGAAGCAGCCAUCAUUUAAAGAAAGCGUAAUAGCUCACUGGUCGAGUCGGCCUGCGCGGAAGAUGUAACGGGGCUAAACCAUGCACCGAAGCUGCGGCAGCGACGCUUAUGCGUUGUUGGGUAGGGGAGCGUUCUGUAAGCCGUUGAAGGUGGCCUGUGAGGGUUGCUGGAGGUAUCAGAAGUGCGAAUGCUGACAUAAGUAACGAUAAUGCGGGUGAAAAACCCGCACGCCGGAAGACCAAGGGUUCCUGUCCAACGUUAAUCGGGGCAGGGUGAGUCGACCCCUAAGGCGAGGCCGAAAGGCGUAGUCGAUGGGAAACAGGUUAAUAUUCCUGUACUUGGUGUUACUGCGAAGGGGGGACGGAGAAGGCUAUGUUGGCCGGGCGACGGUUGUCCCGGUUUAAGCAUGUAGGCGGAUGUUCCAGGUAAAUCCGGAGCGUCACUAACGCUGAGGUGUGAUGACGAGGCACUACGGUGCUGAAGUGACAAAUGCCCUGCUUCCAGGAAAAGCCUCUAAGCAUCAGGUAACAUCAAAUCGUACCCCAAACCGACACAGGUGGUCAGGUAGAGAAUACCAAGGCGCUUGAGAGAACUCGGGUGAAGGAACUAGGCAAAAUGGUGCCGUAACUUCGGGAGAAGGCACGCUGAUGGUAGGUGAAGUGACUUGCUCAUGGAGCUGAAAUCAGUCGAAGAUACCAGCUGGCUGCAACUGUUUAUUAAAAACACAGCACUGUGCAAACACGAAAGUGGACGUAUACGGUGUGACGCCUGCCCGGUGCCGGAAGGUUAAUUGAUGGGGUUAUCCUCGCGGAGAAGCUCUUGAUCGAAGCCCCGGUAAACGGCGGCCGUAACUAUAACGGUCCUAAGGUAGCGAAAUUCCUUGUCGGGUAAGUUCCGACCUGCACGAAUGGCGUAAUGAUGGCCAGGCUGUCUCCACCCGAGACUCAGUGAAAUUGAACUCGCUGUGAAGAUGCAGUGUACCCGCGGCAAGACGGAAAGACCCCGUGAACCUUUACUAUAGCUUGACACUGAACACUGGUCCUUGAUGUGUAGGAUAGGUGGGAGGCUUUGAAGUGUGGACGCCAGUCUGCAUGGAGCCAUCCUUGAAAUACCACCCUUUAAUGGCUGGUGUUCUAACGUGGGCCCGUGAUCCGGGUUGCGGACAGUGUCUGGUGGGUAGUUUGACUGGGGCGGUCUCCUCCUAAAGAGUAACGGAGGAGCACGAAGGUCAGCUAAUCCUGGUCGGACAUCAGGAGGUUAGUGCAAUGGCAUAAGCUGGCUUGACUGCGAGCGUGACGGCGCGAGCAGGUGCGAAAGCAGGUCAUAGUGAUCCGGUGGUUCUGAAUGGAAGGGCCAUCGCUCAACGGAUAAAAGGUACUCCGGGGAUAACAGGCUGAUACCGCCCAAGAGUUCAUAUCGACGGCGGUGUUUGGCACCUCGAUGUCGGCUCAUCACAUCCUGGGGCUGAAGUAGGUCCCAAGGGUAUGGCUGUUCGCCAUUUAAAGUGGUACGCGAGCUGGGUUUAGAACGUCGUGAGACAGUUCGGUCCCUAUCUGCCGUGGGCGCUGGAGAAUUGAGGGGGGCUGCUCCUAGUACGAGAGGACCGGAGUGGACGCAUCACUGGUGUUCGGGUUGUCAUGCCAAUGGCAUUGCCCGGUAGCUAAAUGCGGAAGAGAUAAGUGCUGAAAGCAUCUAAGCACGAAACUUGCCCCGAGAUGAGUUCUCCCUGACUCCUUGAGAGUCCUGAAGGAACGUUGAAGACGACGACGUUGAUAGGCCGGGUGUGUAAGCGCAGCGAUGCGUUGAGCUAACCGGUACUAAUGAACCGUGAGGCUUAACCUU